CCUACGGGAGGCAGCAGUGAGGAAUAUUGGUCAAUGGUCGGGAGACUGAACCAGCCAAGCCGCGUGAGGGAUGAAGGUACAGAGUAUCGUAAACCUCUUUUGUCAGGGAACAAAGGCGGGGACGCGUCCCCGGAUGAGUGUACCUGAAGAAAAAGCAUCGGCUAACUCCGUGCCAGCAGCCGCGGUAAUACGGAGGAUGCGAGCGUUAUCCGGAUUUAUUGGGUUUAAAGGGUUCGCAGGCGGUCUGUUAAGUCAGCGGUCAAAGCCCGGGGCUCAACCCCGGCCCGCCGUUGAAACUGGCAGUCUCGAGUUGGAGAGAAGUAUGCGGAAUGCGCGGUGUAGCGGUGAAAGGCAUAGAUAUCGCGCAGAACUCCGAUUGCGAAGGCAGCAUGCCGGCUCCACACUGACGCUGAGGCACGAAAGCGUGGGUAUCGAACAGGAUUAGAUACCCGGGUAGUC
rnacentral:rRNA from 1 species